AUUGAACGCUGGCGGCAUGCCUAACACAUGCAAGUCGAGCGGAGCAGCGGACGGGUAAGUAAUGCCUAGGAAUCUGCCUGUGGGUGAGGGAUAACGUCCGGGAACGGGCACUAAUGCCGCAUACUAUCACAUGAGCCUAGGUCGGAUUAGCUAGUUGGUGGGGUAAAGGCCUACCAAGGCGACGAUCCGUAACUGGUCUGAGAGGAUGAUCAGUCACACUGGAACUGAGACACGGUCCAGACUCCUACGGGAGGCAGCAGUGGGGAAUAUUGGACAAUGGGCGAAAGCCUGAUCCAGCCAUGCCGCGUGUGUGAAGAAGGUCUUCGGAUUGUAAAGCACUUUAAGUUGGGAGGCGUUACCAACAGAAUAAGCACCGGCUAACUUCGUGCCAGCAGCCGCGGUAAUUC
rnacentral:rRNA from 1 species